UACACACCGCCCGUCACACCAUGGGAGUGGGUUGUACCAGAAGUUGGUGGAUUAACCCGCAAGGGGGAUUGCUGACCACGGUAUGGUCCAUGACUGGGGUG
rnacentral:rRNA from 1 species